ACUCCUACAGUCAGGAAAUUCGAGAUGAGAGGGGGAAAAAGAGGGGGAGCAGCGUGCACCACAAAAGCACAGAGAGUAGAGAGGGAAGAGAGAGCAGACCAUUUAAGACAAAUGGUGAAGACUAGAGACCUCACCAGAUCCAUUCACACAGAAAGCUUCUGAUCUCUAUUCAUGUGCCCCAAGGACAUAUGACUUACACGAUCAAAGUGACAAUAUGUCCUACAACCACCAGGGUUGGGAAUACGUUUCCAGGGGGGCUUGCCGCCAUCAGGCCUGUGACCGAGUGGGAUCUCGCAGGAUCCAGAGACAGGUGGGAGGGCCCGGGUGAAAGGUGAGGGUGUAUGGAGGAAGGGGGGGGCCAGCCAGGGGUGUGGUGCCGCCGUCCUGGACUUCAAACCAAAGAGGAAGCCAAUAUGCUUGCAACUUACGAGAGAGCAGAGCGAAAGAGCACCGCUCAAACCUUUUUUUCUCCUUCUGACUCAGACUGCUGGCAAAAGUAGCCGAGCUCCCACCCACUCUCUCUCGCUCGUUCCUUCCUUUCAUAAUCUCUCUGCUUCUCGUUCGUCCACUCAGACUUGCAUUAUUUUCUUCUUCACUUAGCCAGGUACAUUUAAGUCGAUUGAUUGUAGCCUUCAGGUAACAAAGUAAAGAGUCCAUAGGAUGGAUUUACAUUAGUAAAAUAUGUCUAGUCAGAUCGAUCUCUCUUCCACAUCAGAUUUGCAACUGUUCUGUUUACAAUAGCCUUAGUUGGAUGUGUUGUGGCCAAAGCCACAUUCCUGCUUCAUGUGUGAGCGCGGCUAUGAGCAUACCGUAAAUACCAUAUUAUAUAGACAAACAUAAAAAUGAUAAUGUUUUUAAACCUGCAGUUUUAGUUUACUUUUGCACUACGCACCAUUUUAACUUCCAUUCAUUGUUAUGUUUUAUGUCGUGUCUUUAUGUUGUGUUUACUACGUAUGGUGCUUUCUUGUCUUUCUUGUAAAAGAGAUGUACAUUUCAAAUGUGACCUCUCUGAUUAAAUAAAGGAUGAAUAAAAAGAAAUAAAACACUA